rnacentral:rRNA from 1 species
GACGAACGCUGGCGGCGUGCUUAACACAUGCAAGUCGUACGGUAAGGCCCUUUCGGGGGUACACGAGUGGCGAACGGGUGAGUAACACGUGAGUAACCUGCCCACAACUUUGGGAUAACGCUAGGAAACUGGUGCUAAUACUGGAUAUGUGCUUCUGCUGCAUGGUGGGGGUUGGAAAGCUCCGGCGGUUGUGGAUGGACUCGCGGCCUAUCAGCUUGUUGGUGGGGUAGUGGCCUACCAAGGCGGCGACGUGUAGCCGGCCUGAGAGGGUGACCGGCCACAUUGGGACUGAGAUACGGCCCAGACUCCUACUGGAGGCAGCAGUGGGGAAUAUUGCACAAGGGGCGCAAGCCGGAUGCAGCAACGCCGCGUGCGGGAUGACGGCCUUCGGGUUGUAAACCGCUUUCAGCAGGGACGAAGCUUUUUGUGACGGUACCUGCAGAAGAAGCACCGGCUAACUACGUG